CAGUUGUUAGUGUGCAGUGUGUGUGCCGAGCACGUGUGAGACUGAUGUCGAGAGAAAAGAGAAUUGAGUACAUAAACUCGAAUCCGUCCUGUAAACAACCAUCUUCACUUAUUAAUCAAAUUGAUUACAAAUCGUUCUCAGUAAUCAUGUAGACAUUCGAUUUAUUGAAUGCUAACAUGGUAUCAGUCCUGAGAAAUCAAUUUCUCAGAAGUAUCGAUCCUAUCUUCCGGUGACUAAAUCUUAAAUUCUUUACCAAUUUCUUCUGCUGCUGUUGUUCUUCAUCAUCUUCAAUUCGGGUGAAGAUUCAAGGAGUUCGUAUGGAGAGUUGCUACUGGUGAUUACUUGGUGUGAAGUUUGAUUUGAUCCUGAUACUUACUGCAACGUCGUCAAUCAGGAUUAAGCAUGUAUUUUGGAUCUAAAAUUUAGUUUUAGGGUUUGAGCUCUUGGUUAUUUCGACUUCAUGUGCGGCGUUUGGAUUGAAAUCUCUUACCUCAUCAAAUAAAACUCGAAUCUCUGCUGUGAACAUGAAUCCCUCUUCUCUGUGUGCAAGAGCUGCUAAUAAUGAUAAAUUCCUACUUCUGGUUUGCUAUUUCUCUUGCACUGUCUCAAUCCAGAAAUACAACAUCACCUAUUUUUCCACAACAUGCAUACUUCUGAUUUCACAUGCUGCUUGGGGUCAUCUCACAGAAUUCUGGUUGCCUGUUGUUGCUUACUGUGAUGUGCUUGUGCGUGAACUGGUGCUGCUAAACUUGAAUAUUCUACAGUCAGCCUUGAUUGCAUUUUCCCUACUGUAUGCUCUCCUGCAACCACUCAUAAUGGCCCUAUUACACUGCAACUUCUGCUCCAAUUACAACUGUUGUUUCUUGUGCCACUGCCAAGUCUGUCGCGCUUUCUACAACACCUGGGAUAUUCUACAACUACUAUUCCAUUUUAGCUUCCUUUGGGAGAUUAAUGUUGUCCUUCAGAAUUUUCUUUCUCCAUUCUCUUUGUUACGGGCUGAUAUGAAUCUUUGUAGGGACGCUUUAUUGGUUGUUUCACCAAUUGCUACUCAUACUUCUAGUGCAGGUAUUUUUAUCUACAAAAAAGUUUCUUUCUGCAUCAAUACUGCCUCCUCCAACUGAACAUUCUACACCAACUGCAAUUCAUACUUCUUCCUACUAUUUCCCCAUUUAUUAUAAAUAAAGAGUGUGUGUGCUGGUUUGUGUGUGAGUGUGUCAGUUGUUAGUGCAAUCUCAUGUUGUCUUUUACAGACCACUUGAGAUUGAGGGAGGGUAAUAGAGUGUGUGUGAGUGUGUCAGUUGUUAGUGUGCAGUGUGUGUGUGCCGAGCACGUGUGAGACUGAUGUCGAGAGAAAAGAGAAUUGAGUACAUAAACUCGAGUCCGUCCUGUAAACAACCAUCUUCUCUUAUUAAUCAAAUUGAUUACAAAUCGUUCUCAGUAA